rnacentral:lncRNA from 1 species
GACUCUCUUUGCCGCUCUCUUCCUACUGUCGGUUGCUACCUCGCGUCGGACCUCCCUCCGCAGACUGAAUCCUUUCCCUCUCUCUCACCGUCGUUCCAGUUCCUCCCCAAAUCUCUUAACUCCUCUCACCUUCACGCCGACGUCACUCCCCAACCGGCGGCGUCGCUCCCCAACGGUCGACUCUCCCAAAACAGAUCCCCUUCUCUUUCCUCCCACCGACGUCGCCCAAAUCGGCUUCCUCUUCUCCUAAUCUGGCGACAACCCAAAACUUCCUCCUUAGCCGACAACAACAAAACCCCCCUAAAAAAUGAACCAAAAAUUCAUCCAAAAAAUUCUCACUCUCUCACUACGCGUAUUUUCGAAUUUUUUUGGUAUAUAUUUUUUUGGUAUAUUUCUUUGAUUUUUGUGGAUUGUUGCGGUUGCUAGGAGGCUUAGCUUAGGAUUUUUGGUCUCUAGUUGCUAGGAUUUUCUAGGGUUUUUUGGUUUGCAGGUUGUGGGCCCCCUUUUCAGAUGAGUGCUACAGUGCCCCCUUUAUACUGGGUUGAAGGGGGCACAUUCCCACUACCCUGCCAGAGGCGAAUUUUUCAUGUCUGGCAAGGUGAGGGUGGUGGCUGGCAGGGUGCUCUCUCUCUCAUUUUUUCCUCUUCUUUUUUUUCUUUUUUGUUUAUUUUUUAUUUAUUUUUAAUUAAUACAAUUUCAUUAUGAUUUUUCUUUUUUUUUUACAGUGUCUACAACAACAUUAUUGCGUAGGACGCAAUCCGACCGUUGGUGGUCCGUGUGGAAAAGGUUGAUAAUUGUACAUGGUUCUUCUUUUUGAGAUGGUGUAUAAGUAUGCCAAGGUAUGUUUUAGCUGUGUUGUAGCUGGAGACUGGCAAUGGCAACCAAUUCUUCUUUCAUUAAUGGGAUGAAAGUCCUUAGUUUUCAAAAAAAAAAAUCGAAAUUAGUAACCAAACAAAUUAAAGAAGAUUAAAUAUUAAAAGUUUUAAUACUACCUUCAAUGCAGUUUCAAAUUAAGUAUCC